rfam:Bussuquara virus strain BeAn 4073, complete genome
AGUAUUUCUUCUGCGUGAGACCAUUGCGACAGUUCGUACCGGUGAGUUUUGACUUAACGCAGUGAGAAAAG